rnacentral:rRNA from 1 species
CAGUCGCCGCGGUAAUACGAAGGGUGCAAGCGCUACUCGGAAUUACUGGGCGUAAAGCGUGCGUAGGUGGUGGUUUAAGUCCGUUGUGAAAGCCCUGGGCUCAACCUGGGAAUUGCAGUGGAUACUGGGUCACUAGAGUGUGGUAGAGGAUAGUGGAAUUUCCGGUGUAGCAGUGAAAUGCGUAGAGAUCGGAAGGAACAUCUGUGGCGAAGGCGACUAUCUGGGCCAACACUGACACUGAGGCACGAAAGCGUGGGGAGCAAACAGGAUUAGAUACCCGCGUAGUCCCUGUCUCUUAUAC